UCACCAGACUCACCGGGGACCCUCACGCCUCAGGAGUGGGAGUCUGGCUCUGCCCCCAGACCUUCUGUUUUGUUUGUUUGUUUGUUUGUUUUUUGAGAUGGAGUCUUGCUCUGUCACCCAGGCUGGAGUACAGUGGUCCCAUCGUGGCUCACUGCAACCUCUGCCUCCCGAGUUCAAGUGAUUCUCCUCCCUCAGCCUCCCGAGCAGCUGGGACUACAGGUGUGUGCCACCAUGCCCGGCUAAGUUUUUUUUUUUUUUUUUUUGAGAUGGAGUCUCACUCUG
rnacentral:lncRNA from 1 species